GAUGAACGCUGGCGGCGUGCUUAACACAUGCAAGUCGAACGGAAAGGCUCCUGCUUGCAGGGGUACUCGAGUGGCGAACGGGAGAGUAACACGUGGGUGAUCUGCCCUGCACUUCGGGAUAAGCCUGGGAAACUGGGUCUAAUGCCGGAUAGGACGAUGGUUUGGAUGCCAUUGUGGAAAGUUUUUCGGUGUGGGUUGAGCUAGCGGCCUAUCAGCUUGUUGGUGGGGUAAUGGCCUACCAAGGCGUCGACGGGUAGUCGGCCUGAGAGGGUGUACGGCCAAAUUGGGACUGAGAUAAGGCCAAGACUACAAAGGGAGGCAGCAGGGGGGAAUAUUGAAGAAUGGACGCAGGCCUGAUGCAGAAACGCCGCGUGGGGGAUGACGGCCUUCGGGUUGUAAACUCCUUUCGCUAGGGACGAAGCGCAAGUGACGGUACCUGGAGAAGAAGCACCGGCUAACUACGUG
rnacentral:rRNA from 1 species